ACAACUAGGUUUUGGUAUUGUAGAUGUCGAGUUGCAAUUUCUAAUCAAUUGGAAUUGCGGAACUUGAUUUUGGUGGAUUCAUACAUUUAAUUUUUUUUGUUUGUUUGAGUCCUAUUCUUGAUGUGCGGAAAAGGAAGGCGGUUCGAUUGAGCAAAGAUGUCGACUCCAAACGUCGCCAAAUUAACAAUGGAUGUGGGAUUGGAUAAUGAAACAUGAGCCGGUGGUUUCAAGAAAGAAAGUUGCUCGCGUCCUAUUUUCCGUCAACCUCUUCGCCGCGGCUACCUGUCCCCUCUUUUAGGCUGUCGUUCAUAGAGCUAAGAACUCAAAAUAUUCAGCUGAUGAGGAUAUGGAGGAGACAGAUGUUAAAGAUCCAAAUUUAAAGCAAUCUCUGG